UAGAGUUUGAUCCUGGCUCAGAUUGAACGCUGGCGGCAGGCCUAACACAUGCAAGUCGAGCGGAUGAAGGGAGCUUGCUCUCUGAUUCAGCGGCGGACGGGUGAGUAAUGCCUAGAAAUCUGCCUGGUAGUGGGGGACAACGUUUCGAAAGGAACGCUAAUACCGCAUACGUCCUACGGGAGAAAGCAGGGGACCUUCGGGCCUUGCGCUAUCAGAUGAGCCUAGGUCGGAUUAGCUAGUUGGUGAGGUAACGGCUCACCAAGGCGACGAUCCGUAACUGGUCUGAGAGGAUGAUCAGUCACACUGGAACUGAGACACGGUCCAGACUCCUACGGGAGGCAGCAGUGGGGAAUAUUGGACAAUGGGCGAAAGCCUGAUCCAGCCAUGCCGCGUGUGUGAAGAAGGUCUUCGGAUUGUAAAGCACUUUAAGUUGGGAGGAAGGGCAUUAACCUAAUACGUUAGUGUUUUGACGUUACCGACAGAAUAAGCACCGGCUAACUUCGUGCCAGCAGCCGCGGUAAUACGAAGGGUGCAAGCGUUAAUCGGAAUUACUGGGCGUAAAGCGCGCGUAGGUGGUUUGUUAAGUUGAAUGUGAAAGCCCCGGGCUCAACCUGGGAACUGCAUCCAAAACUGGCAAGCUAGAGUAUGGCAGAGGGUGGUGGAAUUUCCUGUGUAGCGGUGAAAUGCGUAGAUAUAGGAAGGAACACCAGUGGCGAAAGCGACCACCUGGGCUAAUACUGACACUGAGGUGCGAAAGCGUGGGGAGCAAACAGGAUUAGAUACCCUGGUAGUCCACGCCGUAAACGAUGUCGACUAGCCGUUGGGAUCCUUGAGAUCUUAGUGGCGCAGCUAACGCAUUAAGUCGACC
rnacentral:rRNA from 1 species